rnacentral:rRNA from 1 species
CAAUAGCGUAUAUUAAAGCUGUUGCGGUUAAAAAGCUCGUAGUUGGAUUUCUGUCAAGUACAACUGGUCCGCCCUCCGGGUGAGCACAUAGUUUGGUCUUGGCAUCUUGCUGGAAAUUGUUGCUGCACUUGGCUGUGUGGCGCAGUGUCCAGCACUUUCACUUUGAGGAAAUCGGAGUGUUUCAAGCAGGCAAUGCCUUUGAACACAGUAGCAUGGAAUAAUUAGAUUGGGCUUUUGCUCCAAUUUGUCGGUUUCUGGAGCUGAGGUGAGAAUUAAUGGGGAUUGUUGGGGGCAUCCGAAUUUAGCCGUCAGAGGUGAAAUUCUUGGAUCGGCUAAAGACGGACAACUGCGAAAGCGUUUGCCCAGGAUGUUUUCAUUGA